rnacentral:rRNA from 1 species
UACAGAGGUCUCAAGCGUUUGUUCGGAAUUACUGGGCGUAAAGGGUGCGCAGGCCGCGCGGGCAGUCAAAUGUGUAAUCCAGGGGCUCAACCCCUGAACUGCGCUUGAUACUUCCGCGCUCGAGCUUUGGAGAGGAGUCUGGAAUUUCUCGGUGUAGCAGUGAAAUGCGUGGAUAUCGAGAAGAACACUUAGGGCGUAGGCAAGACUCUGGACAAAUGCUGACGCUCAUGCACGAAGGCUAGGGUAGCGAACGGG